GAUCCCAUCAGAACUCCGAAGUUAAGCGUGCUUGGGCGAGAGUAGUACUAGGAUGUGUGACCCCCUGGGAAGUCCACGUGUUGCACACC
rnacentral:rRNA from 1 species